rnacentral:rRNA from 1 species
ACUCAAAGGAAUAGACGGGGACCCGCACAAGCGGUGGAUGAUGUGGAUUAAUUCGAUGCAACGCGAAAAACCUUACCUACCCUUGACAUGCCAGGAAUCCUGAUGAGAGUUGGGAGUGCUCGAAAGAGAGCCUGGACACAGGUGCUGCAUGGCUGUCGUCAGCUCGUGUCGUGAGAUGUUGGGUUAAGUCCCGCAACGAGCGCAACCCUUGUCAUUAAUUGCCACCAUUCAGUUGGGCACUUUAAUGAGACUGCCGGUGACAAACCGGAGGAAGGUGGGGAUGACGUCAAGUCCUCAUGGCCCUUAUGGGUAGGGCUUCACACGUCAUACAAUGGUCGGUACAGAGGGUUGCCAAGCCGCGAGGCGGAGCCAAUCCCACAAAGCCGAUCGUAGUCCGGAUCGGAGUCUGCAACUCGACUCCGUGAAGUCGGAAUCGCUAGUAAUCGUGGAUCAGCAUGUCACGGUGAAUACGUUCCCGGGUCUUGCACACACCGCCCGU